CCUACGGGAGGCAGCAGUGGGGAAUAUUGGACAAUGGGCGAAAGCCUGAUCCAGCCAUACCGCGUGAGUGAUGAAGGCCUUAGGGUUGUAAAGCUCUUUUAGUGGGGAAGAUAAUGACGGUACCCACAGAAAAAGUCCCGGCUAACUCCGUGCCAGCAGCCGCGGUAAUACGGAGGGGGCUAGCGUUGUUCGGAAUUAUUGGGCGUAAAGGGUGCGUAGGCGGCUUUGUAAGUCAAAUGUGAAAGCCUUAGGCUUAACCUAAGAACUGCAUUUGAUACUGCAAGGCUUGAACAUGAGAGAGGGCGAUGGAAUUCUUGGUGUAGGGGUGAAAUCCGUAGAUAUCAAGAGGAACGUCAGGGGCGAAAGCGAUCGCCUGGAUCAUCGUUGACGCUGAGGCACGAAAGCGUGGGGAGCAAACAGGAUUAGAUACCCUGGUAGUCCACGCCGUAAACGAUGAGUGCUGAAAGUGGGUUGUUUUAUAUCUGCUUUGUAGCUAACGCGUUAAGCACUCCGCCUGGGGACUACGGUCGCAAGACUAAAACUCAAAGGAAUGACCGG
rnacentral:rRNA from 1 species